CGGGGUGUAGCGCAGCCUGGUAGCGCGCCUGCUUUGGGAGCAGGAUGUCGGAGGUUCGAAUCCUCUCGCCCCGACCA
rnacentral:tRNA from 3 species